GACGAACGCUGGCGGCGUGCUUAACACAUGCAAGUCGAACGGAAAGGCCCUUCGGGGUACUCGAGUGGCGAACGGGUGAGUAACACGUGGGUGAUCUGCCCUGCACUUUGGGAUAAGCCUGGGAAACUGGGUCUAAUACCGAAUAGGACCACGCGUUUCAUGGCGUGGUGUGGAAAGCUUUUGCGGUGUGGGAUGGGCCCGCGGCCUAUCAGCUUGUUGGUGGGGUAAUGGCCUACCAAGGCGACGACGGGUAGCCGGCCUGAGAGGGUGACCGGCCACACUGGGACUGGGAUACGGCCCAGACUCCUACGGGAGGCAGCAGUGGGGAAUAUUGCACAAUGGGCGCAAGCCUGAUGCAGCGACGCCGCGUGAGGGAUGACGGCCUUCGGGUUGUAAACCUCUUUCGCCGGGGACGAAGCGCAAGUGACGGUACCUGGAGAAGAAGGACCGGCCAACUACGUGCCAGCCGCCGCGGUAA
rnacentral:rRNA from 1 species